rnacentral:misc_RNA from 1 species
UGUUGUUCCAUCUAUACGGUUGCAG